CUGCGAUUAAAUUCAGUCGGUGUAGUUAGUCGCAUAUGUAAAAUUAAAAAAUAGUGCAUAUCAGAAAUUCUAGCCAACCGUAAUUUGAUAUGGAUUUCAAAUCCCGCGUCAGGAUUAUUUAUAAACCAGAGUGAAGGUUGAAUCUGGACUCCGUCCGAUGCCUAGUUCUCGCAACAGGUGAGCUCGACGCGAAAGCGAGUGGGAGAAAAGCGGGUGUUUAACGAGGGCGAGCGAACACGAGAGUGAAGAGGAGAAAAGAAGAUAGGAAAAAGCGAGAGCGCUAGAGAAAACGGGUGGGGAGGAGAACUUCGUGACCGCUACGACUUCGUGAUUCUCUAAAACAAUAACCAACACAGACGCGCGAGGCAUAAGGAAAGCUGGUGAACGGCCACCAUCGGUGCACUCGGGCAGGCUGAAAGUCAGGCAGGCAGUAGACGGAAUCUACACCACGCCAUUUCAAUAUUACGUACUUAUAUACAACCAUACGAACGAGCAACUGCGGCAGGCUACAUAGGGCCUUCCUUCGUCGCCCGCUCUUCUCUCGUUACCUCUCUCUCGCGCGUGGUUUUACUUCACCCCAGAUUCUUGGGUAUAUAUUUGCAUUUGCAUUUUACCGCAACGCUUCAACGUCUUAAGAAAGUGACGACCGUCCUCUUCUUUUAGACGGCUGCUGUCGGUUCGCUCGUCUUUUCUUAUUUUCUCAACGGCUAUACGGGUUCAGACUUUACCAGUCUAGGUCAGUUAUUGUACACAAGAUGGCUGAUACUUCAAUAACCAUGCGGUUAAACUUGCGGUAGCUCUCUUCACGUUUGCGAACAGAAUAAUAUGAGAAAUAUUUUUCAAGUAUAUUGUAAACACGUAGAAAUGGUUUUUGUUUUUUUUUUUUUUUUUUUUUCAUAUAAAACGACGUUCCCAUCUGAAGCGAACAUUAUAAUGAGCCAAUUUGCAAAAUUGGUUUCUAAUCAUCGGCACGCCAAUAUACGUUUGCGUCGGUCAGCUGUGGCCAUAUUGCGUAUACGUGAAUUCUUCGUUAAAACAGCAUGCAUCAAUGAGGCAUAAUUUUGUUCGGUUCAACCGUUGUAAUCAAAGCUUCAAAGUAGACCUGGAACAAGUUUCGUAUUUCGAAGUGGAAACGCCGGGAGAUGGGGGGACAAAGAAAAGAUGAAGAAACCAAAGGGACGCAAGAACCGGAGAAGAGGGACAAUUUAAAGUGAAUUUAUGGCAGUCGGUCUAGUUUAGGCACGUAAAGACCGCCGAUCAAUCUUGUGGUAAACCGAGAAAAUAGAUCAGACUGCGUCGGGCUAACGGAUCAUAGCUCGUCGUAUUCCUUUGGCUCGCUUCGCAGAUGCCAUCCUGACAGAACGUCGUAGAAUGGCAGGACAAACUGGCCACCUGCGGACACGGCAAGACUCGAGGCGCGCGUGCCUCACUCGGUCAUUAUUUUACUCGAGAGAACGCGUUGUCCCUCGUACACUUAUACGAGUUUUAUAAUUCAUAAGUCCGUUAGCAUGGAGAAGAGAACUAAUCGCACACCGUACGCCCACUAAUGAAUCAAGACCGAAGCAGCAGCUAUCGGUAGUCGCGUGUCUCGAGCGAAAGCGGAAAAUGUGCUGCUAUUGCAGCUGCACGGAAUAUCGUAUCUGCACCAGGAAACCACGCAAGCGGGGCAUCGCGAUAGAAAAUGAAAUUAAGA
rnacentral:lncRNA from 1 species